rnacentral:rRNA from 1 species
AGAGUUUGAUCCUAGCUCAGGAUGAACGCUGGCGGCGUGGAUAAGUCAUGCAAGUCGAGCGAACUAGUUGCUGGUCACUAGUUGCUAGUUGCUGGUAGUCGCAAAUGCGAUUAACCAGUCAUUAGUUACCAGUUACCAGUAACUAGUUAGCGGCAGACGAGGUAGUAAUAAUUAAGUAUGUACCAGAGAGUCGGGCAUAGCUAUCCGAAAGGGUAGGUAACUCCCGAUGGUCCCUACUUCGCUCAUUGCUUCGCAUGAGCUUCGUAGGGCAGGCUCUUAAGAGCUUGCCCUUCGUAGCUCGCUUGCGAAGCAGCGAGCGGAGUAGGGUAAAAAUUUAUUGCUCUCUGAACAGCUUGAUCGGUAUCAGCUAGUUGGUGAGGUAAAAGCUCACCAAGGCUAUGACGCCUAGGGGACCUGAGAGGGUGACCCCCACCGAUGGGACUGAGACACGGCCCAUACACCUACGGGUGGCUGCAGACGAGAAUAUUCCGCAAUGGACGAAAGUCUGACGGAGCGACGCCGCGUGGAGGAUGAAGUGCUUCGGCAUGUAAACUCCUUUUGCCAGGGAAAAAGUUAUUGAUGGUACCUGGAGAAUAAGAGGUUGCUAAACUCGUGCCAGCAGCAGCGGUAAUACGAGUGCCUCGAGCGUUAUCCGGAAUUAUUGGGCGU